UAUGUAGGGUGCGAGCGUUGUCCGGAAUUACUGGGCGUAAAGAGCUCGUAGGUGGUUUGUCGCGUUGUUCGUGAAAACCGGGGGCUUAACCUUCGGCGUGCGGGCGAUACGGGCAGACUGGAGUACUGCAGGGGAGACUGGAAUUCCUGGUGUAGCGGUGGAAUGCGCAGAUAUCAGGAGGAACACCGGUGGCGAAGGCGGGUCUCUGGGCAGUAACUGACGCUGAGGAGCGAAAGCGUGGGGAGCGAACAGG
rnacentral:rRNA from 1 species